GAGGGAAACAACCCAGACCGCCAGCUAAGGUCCCAAAGUCAUGGUUAAGUGGGAAACGAUGUGGGAAGGCCCAGACAGCCAGGAUGUUGGCUUAGAAGCAGCCAUCAUUUAAAGAAAGCGUAAUAGCUCACUGGUCGAGUCGGCCUGCGCGGAAGAUGUAACGGGGCUAAACCAUGCACCGAAGCUGCGGCAGCGACACUGUGUGUUGUUGGGUAGGGGAGCGUUCUGUAAGCCUGUGAAGGUGUGCUGUGAGGCAUGCUGGAGGUAUCAGAAGUGCGAAUGCUGACAUAAGUAACGAUAAAGCGGGUGAAAAGCCCGCUCGCCGGAAGACCAAGGGUUCCUGUCCAACGUUAAUCGGGGCAGGGUGAGUCGACCCCUAAGGCGAGGCCGAAAGGCGUAGUCGAUGGGAAACAGGUUAAUAUUCCUGUACUUGGUGUUACUGCGAAGGGGGGACGGAGAAGGCUAUGUUGGCCGGGCGACGGUUGUCCCGGUUUAAGCGUGUAGGCUGGUUUUCCAGGCAAAUCCGGAAAAUCAAGGCUGAGGCGUGAUGACGAGGCACUACGGUGCUGAAGCAACAAAUGCCCUGCUUCCAGGAAAAGCCUCUAAGCAUCAGGUAACAUCAAAUCGUACCCCAAACCGACACAGGUGGUCAGGUAGAGAAUACCAAGGCGCUUGAGAGAACUCGGGUGAAGGAACUAGGCAAAAUGGUGCCGUAACUUCGGGAGAAGGCACGCUGAUAUGUAGGUGAAGUCCCUCGCGGAUGGAGCUGAAAUCAGUCGAAGAUACCAGCUGGCUGCAACUGUUUAUUAAAAACACAGCACUGUGCAAACACGAAAGUGGACGUAUACGGUGUGACGCCUGCCCGGUGCCGGAAGGUUAAUUGAUGGGGUCAGCGCAAGCGAAGCUCUUGAUCGAAGCCCCGGUAAACGGCGGCCGUAACUAUAACGGUCCUAAGGUAGCGAAAUUCCUUGUCGGGUAAGUUCCGACCUGCACGAAUGGCGUAAUGAUGGCCAGGCUGUCUCCACCCGAGACUCAGUGAAAUUGAACUCGCUGUGAAGAUGCAGUGUACCCGCGGCAAGACGGAAAGACCCCGUGAACCUUUACUAUAGCUUGACACUGAACAUUGAGCCUUGAUGUGUAGGAUAGGUGGGAGGCUUUGAAGUGUGGACGCCAGUCUGCAUGGAGCCGACCUUGAAAUACCACCCUUUAAUGUUUGAUGUUCUAACGUGGACCCGUGAUCCGGGUUGCGGACAGUGUCUGGUGGGUAGUUUGACUGGGGCGGUCUCCUCCUAAAGAGUAACGGAGGAGCACGAAGGUUGGCUAAUCCUGGUCGGACAUCAGGAGGUUAGUGCAAUGGCAUAAGCCAGCUUGACUGCGAGCGUGACGGCGCGAGCAGGUGCGAAAGCAGGUCAUAGUGAUCCGGUGGUUCUGAAUGGAAGGGCCAUCGCUCAACGGAUAAAAGGUACUCCGGGGAUAACAGGCUGAUACCGCCCAAGAGUUCAUAUCGACGGCGGUGUUUGGCACCUCGAUGUCGGCUCAUCACAUCCUGGGGCUGAAGUAGGUCCCAAGGGUAUGGCUGUUCGCCAUUUAAAGUGGUACGCGAGCUGGGUUUAGAACGUCGUGAGACAGUUCGGUCCCUAUCUGCCGUGGGCGCUGGAGAACUGAGGGGGGCUGCUCCUAGUACGAGAGGACCGGAGUGGACGCAUCACUGGUGUUCGGGUUGUCAUGCCAAUGGCACUGCCCGGUAGCUAAAUGCGGAAGAGAUAAGUGCUGAAAGCAUCUAAGCACGAAACUUGCCCCGAGAUGAGUUCUCCCUGACCCUUUAAGGGUCCUGAAGGAACGUUGAAGACGACGACGUUGAUAGGCCGGGUGUGUAAGCGCAGCGAUGCGUUGAGCUAACCGGUACUAAUGAACCGUGAGGCUUAACCUUACAACGCCGAAGGUGUUU
rnacentral:rRNA from 1 species